UACGUAGGGGCGAGCGUUGUCCGGAAUCAUUGGGCGUAAAGCGCGUGUAGGCGGCUUGGUAAGUCCGGUGUGAAACCUUGGGGCUCAACCCCAAGCCUGCACUGGAUACUGCCUCGCUUGAGUCCGGGAGGGAGAGCGGAAUCCUAGUGUAGCGGUGAAAUGCGCAGAUAUUAGGAAGAACACCGGUGGCGAAGGCGGCUACUCGUGGAACGGUACUGACGCUGAGACGCGAAAGCGUGGGGAGCGAACGAGGA
rnacentral:rRNA from 1 species